rnacentral:rRNA from 1 species
ACGGAGGCGCUCAAAGGUUGGCUCAGCACGGACGGAAAUCGUGCAGUGAGUGUAAACGUAUAAGCCAGCCUAACUGCGAGACCGACGGGUCGAGCAGUAACGAAAGUUGGAGUUAGUGAUCCGGUGGUAUGUGAGUGGAAAUGCCAUCGCUCAACGGAUAAAAGCUACCCUGGGGAUAACAGGCUGAUCUCCCCCAAGCGUCCACAGCGACGGGGAGGUUUGGCACCUCGAUGUCGGCUCGUCACAUCCUGGGGCUGUAUUCGGUCCCAAGGGUUCGGCUGUUCGCCGAUUAAAGUGGCACGCGAGCUGGGUUCAGAACGUCGUGAGACAGUUCGGUCCCUAUCUGUUGCGGGCGUAAGAGAUUUGAAGGGGGCUGUCCUUAGUACGAGAGGACCGGGAUGGACGCACCUCUGGUGCACCUGUUGUCGUGCCAACGGCACAGCAGGGUAGCUACGUGCGGACGAGAUAAACGCUGAAAGCAUCUAAGCGUGAAACUUUCCCUAAGAUAAGAUCUCUCAUCCGUUAAGGAGUAAGGCACGAUAUAGACGAUGUCGUAGAUAGGCCGGAGGUGGAAGUGCAGUAAUGUAUGGAGCUGACCGGUACUAAUCAGCCGAGGGCUUGACCU